AAAAUUAUAUACACAGACAAAAACAUACAGGUUCUUCCCUCCACAUCUCUAUCCGAAACAAGUUCCCUCUUCCUCCCCGUCGUUACUUUCUCACCAUUCUCUUUCUCUCCCGCUUUUCUAUUCGUUCUUCCUUUUCCUAAAUCAGAUCUCUCCACGCCCCUUUUUCAUUUCCCUCGUAAAACUGCUUUACCUUACCAAUUAUACUUACCCCCAAACAUUCCAAAACUCUCAAUGAUUCUUGAAAAUUACAAAAAAAUCUCUGUUUAUUUCACUCUUGGAGCUUCAAGAAAAGAUUUAUAAAUCAUGCAACAGAAGAACUCAGAGAAGCAGAAUUUUACGAGACAGCUGUCGCUCACUUCUCUAAAGCCUCCAUUUGGAGGUGAUUACCACCGUUUCGACGCUGGUUCUGGUCGUGGACAACCUAAUCAAGAAGCUGAUCAAGUUGUUGUUAUCAAGACUCCUCCGGUAAGUUUUUCAUUUUUGAACCCUUGUUACACUGAUUUUAUCUUUGUACUUAUUUUCAUUUUUAGUGUAUGAAGCUGUGAUCGAAUUAUAAACUUCAGACUUUUGAGUGGUUAUGAUUUAUACAACUUAUUAAGAUCUUUUCUUUUUUGUAUAUCGGAAACAAUGUAUAAAUUGAAAUUGAAGUAUAUGGUAAUCAUUUAGGGGUCGUUUCCGAUAUAUGUAGAAUCAAGUCUGAAUAUACUAAAUGUGUGAUUUUUAUGUUGUCAGGAGAUAUCUGAAUGGGUUGGAAUUGAAUUAGUGAAUUUGUAUUGAAUGUAAGGAUUUUGACCAUAGUCAUUUAGCUUGUUAUAUUGGUCAAUCUUCCAUUUCUUCUGUUGUUUAGUAGAAUCGUGAAGUGGGUUUUGAUUUGAGUUCUUCUGUAGACAGUGCGAACUGAUUCUUUGGUAUGGUUUUCCGUCAUAAUAAUUGCUAUGAAGGGAAAAUUUUGAAUCACUUAUCAGUCUCUCAAUUUUUCGAAGAUCUACAAUCUUUUCCGAUGCAUUGCAGAAAAAUAUUAUGUUAGCAGAUAUCACGUCAAAAGAAUUAUAAAAGUACUUUGAAAUACUUUUUCUGUCUUAUCUCCAUGGCACAUGUCAAGCAAAAGGAGACACCACCAUUACUUAACCAUUAAGUCAAUAGUUUCAGGAGUUCUCUACAAUUUCAUUAUGCUUUUCGAUUUUUUAAAUUUCUUAGCCAUUGGAGGAUAUACUUGAAAUUUGGGGAUUGCAAGCAAUUGCAAUGUUGCUUACUCGAAGAUUUCAUUUAUUUGAUGGCCCAUGUAAAGAGCGGCGAGGCUAAGGAUAUGGACUUGAUGGUAAAUUUUAGCUUUUCACGUCUUCUUGUUAAAAAAGAAAAGUAUUGGACCUUAAUGUAGAUUAAGGAGAUGUACUUAUCUGUUGUCUAAAUGUAUAUUUGAAAUGUAUUAAACUUUAAGACUGAUAAAUUAGUUUAUAUGCAGGAGCAUGAGUAGGAAAUGUAAGGAUGUCAAGAAAACAUUUACGGUUCAAUCAUAUCGUACAAAAUUUCCAAUUGAUGACGACUGGUGAUAAUGCAUUACGCUUGUACGCUGUAUCAGUUCCUCUUGUAACUAUAUAGUCUGACUCUCAUCACUCAUCAGUCACUGUUUAAAUUACAUUAGGUUUUAUAUUUUAGAUUCCUUAACAGAUGGCGUUACGGUUUUACUUAAGACUGAUUUUAAUGUGAAUGAAUCUCUUACGAUGUCCUAUGAACUAUUCCUAUGAUCCAUAGAAAUUUAACUCCACUGAUUGGAAUUAUCCAUAGACAAUGAGCAGGACAAAAGCCAAACAAAUCUUGUUAUUUCUUAAUGCACUUAAUAGCUAUUUGUUUGUUUAUAUUUCUGCUACAUUAUGGAGUGGGCUUGUCCAAGCACCUAAGAUUAGUUAUGGUUGAUAGUUCUUUUAAUAUUCAUUUACUCACUUAGUCAGAUUGUGUACUUUUAUCUUGAUUGGAUGUUGUGUGCGGCAUUCAUUAUGUAGAGCGUUGAAAUACCUGGAGAACUCUCUCUGUAAUAUGUAUUAACUGCAGCGAAAUGGAUCUUUUUGGGCAUGCUAACAUAUUUAUAAACAAUUUAAAUCAGGUGCUUAUUCUUAGCUCUAAUGUUGAUGGUGACUUUUAGCUCAUUACACAUACUUUUGACAUUAGAUUUUGGUGUAUUACUAGAUGGAUAUAGUCUGCUAAUUCAAUCUAUUUUAACUCGUGAACAUUUGGUGAGACAUCUUAUAUAGAGGGAAACUUUUAUAAACAUCUGCCAAUUUGUCAUUUUUGAUAUGCUGUACUUGGGUAUUCAGUUAUGAAUUGGAUGGUUGCAUUAUCAUUAUCAUCUAAUAACUGAAGUUUCUUGCAAAAUGUUGCCGCCCUAAGGUUGUUCUUGAGUUUUUCUUUUCAGCUUCUCUAUUUAAAAUCAUUCUCUACGCUUUAUGAUUAUUACACUACAAUUACAUUUGUGUAGGUUUUCAAAUGAGGCAAUUUCUUUUAAUUCCAGCAUUUUGUUUGGUCUGUCAAGACAAACUUAAAUUCACUUAAAAUUAAAUUAACCACGUUGAUGACUUGUUUAUGAAAUUGUGUCCUCUAGCCAUUGAAGCAGGAGAAUGAUACAGCAGCAU
rnacentral:lncRNA from 1 species